GGGUUUAGGAUAAUUAAACUUAGGACCUUCAAAGCCCUUAAUAGAAGUUGAAACCUUCUAACCCUUG
rnacentral:tRNA from 1 species